rnacentral:lncRNA from 1 species
CAAGAAACAAGUCAACAAAACAGUGCUGAAAGGCUGCUUUGUAUGGAGAGCCUGGGGCCUCUCCCUCCUCUGCCUCUGCUAGCACAGCAUUUGCCCCUGUGCGGGCACCCGAGCAAGGUGCUGAAGAAGCCAGGGCUGUAUUUUGGGGGAGGGAGAGCAGAACAAGGUGACAAUCGCACCGGGACACAUCGAUUGUCCUCGAUAAAGGAACCUGGAAGUGGCAGCAGGGAAAGUGUGAGGCCAGGUGGAACUUGAGCAAACAUCCCUCGCUCCCACCGCUCAUGCCUUUCUGAGCAGGGAGCAUUCAGCUCCAAGGAGAAGCUCAAGUGUCGCUUGAUGUUAUCAAUAAAUUGUCAGCCUGAGCUUCCUUGUGUCGCCGAGGGUCACUGGCUGCAGUGUUGCAGGCGCUUUUCCCCCGGGAGGUGUGGGGCAGCCAGCAAGGAGGAUCCUGAGCGUGCAGCAUGGAGCAGAGAGCAUCGGCUGCCCCGCCUGGAGGGACAGGGGUGAGGACAUCCGUGGCUCUGAGCUGCAGCCUCUUCCAUGGGGACCCUGUGAGAUCUGUGCCUGACAGCAUCAAAUAGCCAGCGUGCUUGCUCCUUCCCCCCCUUCUCUUCUGACCUGUUAUCUAAAGUGCUUUCUCCUGCCUCCAGCAGCUGAGUUCCCUCAUGCUGGGGGAGACCUGGUGGCCUCUUGGUAAAAUCCACGUCUCCCAGAGCACGUUGGGCUGACCACGAAAUGCUGCAGCCACACUUCAGCCCCAAGCUCAGGAUCCUCUUCCCCAGAGUGCGCCUUGCCCAGGGCUUCCCACAGGGCUUGGCGUGCUCUUUUGCAAGGUGCCUGGUCUUGUCCACAGAGGAAUGUGGUUGGAAUUUGGCCCCAACUCGGUUUGCAUCAGCUGCAAACCCAAGGGAAACCCUUGGCACUGUCUCCAAAAACUCCUGUGCUUCUGGGCAAGGCAGGACGUGGGCUCAGCUUUGCUUUGCAGGCUCGCUUCCCGGAGAGCAGACCUGUGCUGAAAAGUCUCCGUGGGAACACUCGGGUUGUUUCCAGCAAGAUGUAUCUGCUGCUUGGAGGAGAGGCGUGGGGAUGAGGAAGGAGACAUUUCAACAACAUCAGUCAGCAAAGACUGUGAAACAGUGGUGA